AGUGAACGCUGGCGGUAGGCCUAACACAUGCAAGUCGAACGGCAGCACAGUAAGAGCUUGCUCUUACGGGUGGCGAGUGGCGGACGGGUGAGGAAUACAUCGGAAUCUACUUUUUCGUGGGGGAUAACGUAGGGAAACUUACGCUAAUACCGCAUACGACCUACGGGUGAAAGCAGGGGAUCUUCGGACCUUGCGCGAUUGAAUGAGCCGAUGUCGGAUUAGCUAGUUGGCGGGGUAAAGGCCCACCAAGGCGACGAUCCGUAGCUGGUCUGAGAGGAUGAUCAGCCACACUGGAACUGAGACACGGUCCAGACUCCUACGGGAGGCAGCAGUGGGGAAUAUUGGACAAUGGGCGCAAGCCUGAUCCAGCCAUACCGCGUGGGUGAACAAGGCCUUCGGGUUGUAAAGCCCUUUUGUUGGGAAAGAAAAGCAGCAGGUUAAUACCCCGCUGUUCUGACGGGACCCAAAGAAUAAGCACCGGCUAACUUCGU
rnacentral:rRNA from 1 species